rnacentral:rRNA from 1 species
UACGUAGGUGACCAGCGUUGUCCGGAUUUACUGGGCGUAAAGAGCGCGCAGGCGGUCGUUCAAGUCGAGUGUGAAAGCCCCCGGCUCAACUGGGGAGGGUCACGCGAUACUGUUCGACUCGAAGGCAGGAGAGGGAAGCGGAAUUCCCGGUGUAGCGGUGAAAUGCGUAGAGAUCGGGAGGAACAUCAGUGGCGAAGGCGGCCAUCUGGGACAACACUGACGCUGAAGCACGAAAGCGUGGGGAGCAAACAGG